AGAACCCAUACUAAUAAGACCCACCUCUAUACCCGACCCAAAAAAACCCCAAAAGCACCCGACCCACUAGCAGGGCUACCUAUAUAGCGGGUUAUGCGGAAAAUCUUGUUCGUUGAUGAGUGCAUACAUCCUGCGAGUAUCACGCACCACACGGCACAUGAAUCCCCAACGCCUUAUUCGAAGCCAAAACAACAUGAACCGACGUAUAUUUGCUGUUUUUGCAUGGGAAAUUUUUUUGUUACUAAACAGAGGAAUAUGUAAGCAUGUAUUAGGAGAGGUAAAUCAGAGUUAUGACCUGCAGGAACACAAAUAAUAAUAAUAAUAAUAAUAAUAAUAAUAAUAAUAAUAUUAAUAACAAUAAUAAUAAUCUUUAUCUAUUUUUAAAGAGCGCACCGUUUCUGCGGUACUUUGACUUUUGGUCUCAAUAGACACCGACAGGCGGGUCCUCUCAACGUAUCUCUAUCCGAUCCCUAUUCCCUGUGCAGUCAUCGUCAGUCGCCUCCACCAGCGUCGUCUUCGACCUAGAGUCGGCCGUGCGCAGCGCUCCUCCGUUCGCGUCAUCUUCGAUUGGAACUCGGUUCACUCCUAGCCAGCCUCCCAGAUCGGGAGGCGAUGCAGACGGAGAUGGUUCUCCGGCCGGGGUGGAGCUCGGUGGCACCACGCUCGCGUGGCGGCGGAGUUUGCGGCCCCGGCACGCAUGCGGCUGCGGGCUCGCGGCUCUCGCCUGCAUCCAGCGGUGGAGCUCGCGCCCCCGCACGCACGCGGUGGUGGAGCUUGCAACGACUGCAGGUCUGCAGCAGAACCUACUCCAGAAGCAGUAAACGGUAGAAAGUAGAGACAUCGCCACGGCACGUCCUCGUCACUCAAUUGUUCUUGCUUGCGGAUGCUGCGGCGGUGGAUGCCACCUUCUUUUCCUGCGGAUAAGCUAGGAGCGGACUCAAGCUGUGCCUAAAUCGAGCUCGUUGUCAAAGAUGAGAGCAGGCAAUAGGAUGGCCGGAUGGGGAUUGGGCAAUGGUGGGUCUGACGCUCUGAUUUUUUUUCGGAGGCAACUCCUCUGAAUUGAAGUAGCUUCUGGGAUGGCGAUCUUCUCCUAAUCGUUUUCCCUUUAAUUUUUUUCAUUUCCUUUUGGAUGGUGCGGAUAGAGCACUGAUUUCCCGGGGCUCUCUAUUUCAUGGAAAGAAGAAGACAGUUGAAUCUGUCCUUAAUCUGCCUUAUGCUGAAUGGAAGGCGCAGGAGGAGUUUAAUC